rnacentral:rRNA from 1 species
UACGGGGGGGGCAAGCGUUGUUCGGAAUUACUGGGCGUAAAGGGCUCGUAGGCGGCCAACUAAGUCGGACGUGAAAUCCCUCGGCUUAACCGGGGAACUGCGUCUGAUACUGGAUGGCUUGAAUCCGGGAGAGGGAUGCGGAAUUCCAGGUGUAGCGGUGAAAUGCGUAGAUAUCGAGAGGAACACCUGCGGCGAAGGCGGGUUGCUGGGCUGACACUGACGCUGAUGCGCGAAAGCCAGGGGAGCGAACGGG